rnacentral:rRNA from 1 species
UACGUAGGCAGCGAGCGUUGUUCGGAGUUACUGGGCGUAAAGAGUGCGUAGGCGGUUUUCUAAGUUUGGUGUGAAAUCUCCCGGCUUAACUGGGAGGGUGCGCCGAAGACUGGAAGGCUUGAGUAUGGGAGAGGUAAGCGGAAUUCCUGGUGUAGCGGUGAAAUGCGUAGAUAUCAGGAGGAACACCUGCGGUGUAGACGGCUUACUGGACCAUCACUGACGCUGAGGCGCGAAAGCGUGGGGAGCAAACAGG